UACGUAGGGUGCAGGCGUUAAUCGGAAUUACUGGGCGUAAAGUGUGCGCAGGCGGCAGAGCAAGUCGAGUGUGAAAGCCCCGGGCUUAACUUGGGAAUUGCGCUCGAAACUACUUUGCUGGAGUGUGGCAGAGGAAGGUGGAAUUCCACGUGUAGCGGUGAAAUGCGUAGAGAUGUGGAGGAACACCAAUGGCGAAGGCAGCCUUCUGGGCCAACACUGACGCUCAUGCACGAAAGCGUGGGGAGCAAACAGG
rnacentral:rRNA from 1 species